UACGGGGGGGGGCAAGCGUUGUUCGGAAUUACUGGGCGUAAAGGGCACGUAGGCGGCCUACUAAGUCAGACGUGAAAUCCCCCGGCUUAACCUGGGAACUGCGUCUGAUACUGGAAGGCUUGAGGAUGGGAGAGGGAUGUAGAAUUCCAGGUGUAGCGGUGAAAUGCGUAGAUAUCUGGAGGAAUACCGGUGGCGAAGGCGGCAUCCUGGACCAUUACUGACGCUGAGGCGCGAAAGCUAGGGGAGCAAACAGG
rnacentral:rRNA from 1 species